rnacentral:lncRNA from 1 species
CCAAUUUAAAGAAUUUAGCCGUUUAAGUUUACUCUACUUUUUAUUUAUUUAUUUAUUUAUUUUCAUCAUCAUUAUCUCGUCCAUUAUAUUGAGAUAUAAGUAAUAUAACCCAAAUUGUGUGUGGCUCAAGCCCAAAAUUAGUUAGGGUUUAGAAUUUGUUAUAUUAGUUAUUUAGUAGGCAAAUCACUUAUUAUAUAUAAAUAGAUACUUUGUAAUUCAGGUUUGUAACAUAAUCG